rnacentral:lncRNA from 1 species
CAAGAGAUUGAACAUAGUUCCCUGUGCUAUGUAGUAAAAUCCCACUGCCUAUCCAUUCCAAAUGUGACAGUUUGCAUCUACUAACCCCAAACUCCCAGUCCAUCCCACUCUCCCUGCCUCAGGAAAUCACAUAUCUGCUCUCCACGGUCAUGAUCUGAGUCUGUUUUGUAGUUAGAAUCAUUUGUGCCAUAUUUUAGAUUCCUCGUAUAAGUGAUAUCCUAUGGCAUUUAUCUUUCCCUUCCUGACUUGUUUCACUUAGUAAGAGAAUCUCUACCUGCCUCCAGAUUGCUGCAAAUGACAUUAUUUGUCCUUUUAAUGGCUGAGUGGUAUUCCAUUGUAUAUAUGUACCACAUCAUUUAAUCCAUUCAUCUGUCCUUGGACAUUUAGGUUGUUUCCAUAUCUUGGCUAUUGUGAAUAGUGCUUCAAUGAACAUAGGGUGCAUGUAUUUUUUCAAUGAAUGCUUUUUCCAGAUACAAGCCCAGAAGUGGAAUUGCUGGGCCACAUGGUAGUUCUAUACUUAGUUUUCUGAUGUACCUUCAUACUGUUUUCCAUAGUAGUUGUACCAAUUUACAUUCCCACCAACUGUGAAGGAGGAUACCAUUUUCUCCACACCCUCUCUAGCAUUUGUUAUUUGUGGACUUAUUAAUGAUGGCCAUUCUGACUGGUGUGAGGUGGUACCUCAUAGUAAUUUCGAUUUUCAUUUCUCUAAUAAUUAGUGAUGUUGAGCAUUUUUUAAUAUGCCUACUGAUUUGCAUUUCUUUUUUUUUCUUUUAUUUUCCCACUGUACAGCAAGGGGAUCAAGUUAUCCUUACAUGUAUACAUUACAUUUUUUUUCCCCACCCUUUGUUCCGUUGCAAUAUGAAUAUCUAGACAUAGUUCUCAAUGUUACUCAGCAGGACCUCCUUGUAAAUCUAUUCUAAGUUGUUUCUGAUAAUCCCAAACUCCCAAUCCCUCCCACUCCCUUCCUCUCCCAUCAGGCAGCCACAAGUCUGUUUUCCAAGUCCAUGAUUUUCUUUUCUGUGGAGAUGUUCAUUUGUGCUGGAUAUUAGAUUACAGUUAUAAGUGAUAUCAUAUGGUAUUUGUCUUUGUCUUUCUGGCUUAUUUCACUCAGUAUGAGAUUCUCUAGUUCCAUCCAUGUUACUGCAAGUGUCAUUAUGUCAUUCUUUUUUAUGGCUGAGUAGUAUUCCAUUGUAUAUAUAUACCACAUCUUCCGAAUCCAAUCAUCUGUUGAUGGACAUUUAGGAUAUUUCCUUGUCCUGGCUAUUGUGAAUUGAUUUGCAUUUCUUGAUAAAUUCCUUUGAUCAUGCAUCAGAAAAGUGUAAGUGAAAGAUAUCAAUGUCUUCAGUUGUUUUAAGCACAGCAUGCUGCACAGCUUGUCUAAAAAAUCAUGUUUAUAAUCAGAUAUACCAUUAGGCUGUGAAUGAGGGCAUCAGUUGCCCAAAGGAUUACUCCAUUCUCUGCAGCAGCAAUAGUGCUCCUCAAAUAGGCCUGGGGGAAGCAUCUUAAGUGUGUCUUCUUCAUACUGAGCUCAUCUCCAGUUUGGCUUUUAGUUCUCUGGGGUAUUUUGUUGAAUAUCAGUAGUUUGCAUUGGCUCCAUUGAAAAGGUCUCUGGUCAGCAGCUCAGAUCUUUUCCCAGAGCCAGAGCAAACUGGCUUCUGAUUUCAUCUUCUAGAAGAUUGGAAACACACAUGGCUUCUCACUUAUUUUAUUUACCACUUUCAAAAAAGAGGUCUAACAUUGCCCUGAUCAAUGGAAUGAGCACACUUCUCAGAGCCAGCCCUCGCUUUAAUAGUCUGCAUUGAAGCAGAUGUUGAAAAUACACUUCUGUAGUGCAGAAGCAUCUUGAUUUCUGAAAUAAUUAUAUCAGGUUUUUAAGUAGCAUACUUGCCAAGAAAUUUUCAACCCUAAGUAGGCUCAUUUUUUAUGGGUUCUUGGUAGUUAAAACUACACCUCAGAAGAGUGGCUUUUGAAAAAAAAAUCUUGAUUUUAUUUCAUUUGUAUGCCUGUGGCAGAUUCAUUAAUUGGAAGGGAAUGGUCUUUCUUUCCUUUGAGUUAUAAUAAUGUAUCAGGACUUGGAGUCAGAUCAGCCAUCAGACUCCACUGGCAGGCAAGUUAUUUAACUCCUCAUCUGUAAAAGGGCAUGAUACCGGCACUUCCUCCACAGAGGUUUGAUAAAGACUCAUUCUAAAUUCGAUUAUAAAUGCAAAUGCUGGGACCUAGGCAUCUGGGGGCUCUGGGCCUCCUCCAUCAAUACCUUUACCAAUGGGGUAAGGAAACAGGCACGUGAGGGUCCGAGGGAUGUGUCACUUGAAGCCCACAUCCCCACUUCCUGGUCCAGGUUCUAUGUACUCCCCACUCCAGAACCCUGGUCCAUGGGGUCCUGAGCCUACUUCCAGAGCCUAUGCAAUCCUCACUGCUGCUUUUUUUUUUCUUGAGCUCCAACCAGUGAAUGUCUCUACACCUGGGAAAGGGCCAAGAAGCAGCUGUUGGCAAACGUGGGGGUGGCAUUUGGACAUGCAUUGGUGCUGCACAGAACAUGGGUGGGCUGGGGCCACCUUCCCCUACAAUUCCAUAUCCCUACGCAGGACUUCAAGAACUCAGAAUUCAAAAUUCAAACAUGGCCUUCUGAGUUGUUUUGAAGAUCUGUUUGUCAAGACUGGAAGACAGAAUGUUUUAUCUAAGAGCACUGAGUAGUUUGUUGGCUUCAUGUGUAACUAGUAAAUAUUUAGCCAUGUGGUCUCCAUUCACAUUCUCACCCCACAUCCUGCAAAUAUCAGGGACAGGUUCAUAUGAAGAACACGCAGGGCAGGACUCAAUAAACAUGAGCGAUCAUCAUAUUAUCAUCACCAUCACUGAUGUUUGUCAUCAUUAUUUCUGUCUUCUGCCACUUAGGGCAAUGUGGCCAAUCCUCUGGACCAGUUGGAGAACAUCAGCUCACUCUCUCAGAUCUUCUAGAUGCUGGCUGUAUUUCCCACAAGAAGGAAGAAAGUUACACCUGAGAUUUAGUUGAUGGAGUAUUUAAAAGGAAGUAAGGGAGGCAGAGGGAGGAUUCCUGGGCUCAGUCAAAGCCACAGCAGGAGAGCACAAUGAGAGUCCACGUGCUCUAAAGCCUGAAAUUCUAUAUUUGAAUCUUUACUCUGCCUUUUCUUAUGAGUGCAGCCUGGGCCGAAUUACUUAAGCUUUCUGCUCCUCGAUGUCUUCACCGGUAAAAAUAGUAAUUAAUAUGGAGUUCCCAUCGUGGCACAGCGAGAACAAAUCUGACUAGGAACCAUGAGGCUGCAGGUUCGAUCCCUGGCCUCGCUCAGUGGGUUAAGGAUCCGGCACUGCUGUGAGCUGUGGUGUAUGUUGAAGAUGUGGCUCAGAUCUGGUGUUGCUGUGGUGUAGGCCGGCAGCUGUGGCUCCGAUUUGACCCCUAGCCUGGGAAACUCCAUAUGCUGAGGGUGAGGCGCUAAAAAAGAAAAAAAAAAAAAAGAGAGAGAGAGAGAGAGAAACUGUAAUGGAACCAUCCUGGAUUAGAGUGAGCCAUAAAUACAAAGUGUUUUGGGAAGAGAAGAGAAGACCAAGGAGUGAAUGAUAUCAAGAUAGAGAUGGAGAUUGGAGUAAUGCAUCUACAAGCCAAGGGACACUAGGUUUGAUGGCAGCCACUGGAAGCUGCAAGACAGAUGUAAGAUGAAUUCUCUCUGUGUGUUUCCCAAAGGCACUAAUCCUGCCAGCACCUUGUUUUCAGACUUUUGGCCUCCAGAAGUCUGAGGGAAUAAAUGUUUGUUAUUUUCAGCCAUCCAGUUUAUAGAGAUUUGUUGUUAAGAACAUUACUGGAUAUGUUAGGAAACUAGCACAAAAAGUACAAUUUUUUUUUUCUGUUUUUGUUCUGUAAUCUCAGUGCCUAGAAGAGUGCCAGAUUCAUAAUAGGUGUUUGGUGACUAUUUGUUGAAUGAAAACUUAGGACCCAAAUUGUCUC